rnacentral:tRNA from 1 species
GCCCGGGUGGUGGAAUGGCAGACACGACGGUCUUAGAAGCCGUUAUCGAAAGAUGUGCAGGUUCAAGUCCUGUCCCGGGCACCA